rnacentral:misc_RNA from 1 species
GUGAAUCAUCAAAUUUUUGAACGCAAAUUGCACUUUUUGGUAUUCCGGAAAGUAUGCCUGAUUGAGGGUCAGUUAUAUAUUCAUCGGUGUUGUUGCUGCGUUUCGUGGUGACGCGUCGGAAUUGGGUCGUCUUACCAUCGGUUAAGCGACUUAAAAUUUUUGCAUGAUUUUCGAACGUAUUUAAAUCGUUUACGUACGUUUGAGAUAUCGAAUGCUUAUUUGGUUCGGUUAUUC